rnacentral:rRNA from 1 species
GACGAACGCUGGCGGCGUGCCUAAUACAUGCAAGUCGAGCGAGGCGGCGGAUCGGCGAGUAACGCGUGGGUAACCUGCCCUUAAAUCUAGGAUACCAUUUUGAAACAGAUGCUAAUACCGGAUACUAAAGGAAGGAUCUUCGAUGCAUUAGCUUGUUGGUAAGGUAACGGCUUACCAAGGCGAUGAUGCAUGGCGGGGUUGAGAGACUGAUCGGCCACAUGGGGACUGAGACACGGCCCAAACUCCUACGGGAGGCAGCAGUAGGGAAUCUUCCACAAUGGACGAAAGUCUGAUGGAGCAACGCCGCGUGAGUGAAGAAGGUUUUCGGAUCGUAAGGCUCUGUUGUUGGUGAAGCGGUAAUCAACCAGAAAGUCACGGCUAACUACGUGCCAGCAGCCGCGGUAAUUC